CAACAUCUUUGUUUGUAUGUGGUGCUGAGGAUUGAACCCGGGCCGCACGCAUGCCAGGCGAGCGCACUACCACUUGAGCCACAUCCCCAGCCCUAAUAUCAAGAUUUCUUGGAGAGCCCAGUUAGGUGGCACAUGCUUAUAAUCCCAGAAACUCAGGAGGCUGAGGCAGGAGGAUUGCACAGUCAAGGUCAGCCUCAGCAAUUUAGCAAGGCCCUAAGCAACUUAGGGAGACCCUGUCUCAAAAAAAAAAUUUAUCCAUGUCACUUAUCAUUACUUCUUUUUUCAUUGCUCAAUAGUAUUUCAUUUUAUGAAUAUACCACAAUUUGUCCAUUCUUCUGUUUAUAGAUAUUUGACUUAUUUCCAGUUUUUGGCUAUUAUGAAUACAAUGCUAAGAGCGGUCCUAUACAAACCUUUUUGCAAAUCUUUGGUUUCAUUUUCCUCUUUCUUUCUUUUCUGUUCUUUUGUUUGUUUGUUUGUUUACCACUGAGCUACCCCUAGUCCCUUUUUAUUUUUUAUUUUGAGACAGGGUCUUGCUAAAUUAUUGAAGCUGACUUUGAACUUGUUAUUCUCCUGCCUUAGCCCAUAGAAUUGCUGGCCAUUACCCACAGAGGUUUUUGUUUCUCUUGAAUAAAUAUCUAGGAGUUGAAUUGCUGAUGUAGGUGUAGGUUUGUGUUUAAUCUUCAAAGAAAUAACCAAAUCAAUUUCCAUAUUGGAAGUACCAUAAAAAUUACCUGAGAAUUUCAUUUGCACUACAUUUUUGCCAAUAUUUGCUAUUUUUUCCCUGUCAUUUUAGCCAUCAUAAUGGAUGUGGAAUGGUUUAAAUCUUAUCUUUCCCUAAUGACUAAUGAUGUUGAGCAACUUUUCAUUUGUAUAAUGACCAUUUGGAUAUUUUCAUUUAUGAAGUAUUGGUUUAAGUCUUUUGUCCACUUUUAUUGGUUGCUUAUCUUUUUCUUUUUGAGUUUAGAAGUUCUUAUAUUCUGAAUAUAAGUCCUUUGCUGCCGCAGUCUGGCUGGGCACAAAAUCACGAGCCACUCAAGCAGGAACAAACUUUAUUUUUGAAACUGCUGCCAAUGCCCCUUACGCUCCCGGGAAGAUUGCCGACUGACCCACGCGGACCCCAACAGGAAGUCCCUCCUUCAGAAUUCCCUCCUACCGCACUUCCCCAACCAAUGGGAACUCUCCAGGAGUCCCAUAGCAGGCCGAGGUGGACAGCAGGAGUCCAAUAUCCAUAUGAAUGCAGAUCUUAACAUAAUCAUAUCAUCUCAAUGGCUUGCUGGCGUCACCUUUCAACCAAAAAUGCCAUGCAUCAUAUUACUUGGUUGUGGCUCUUAGCACUUUGCCAUUAUAAGGUCUUGCUUAGCAUCUGAACGGUCAUCUUAAGUGACAGCUGCCAUUUUAAGGAAAAAGUUUUGCUUUCUCAGCAUUUCUGAGAAAGACUCACCAAUCCUUCAUACCAACCCAGCUCUGAUUCCUGAGUCUGCCCUAUAAAAGCCUGGGAACUCAAGCCUGUUUUGCCUCUCUCCUCUAUAGAGAGAUGGCCUUUAUUUGUCCUUUCUGGCUUACCUGUCUCUUGUUCCUCGCUUUCCCUUCAGCCAGACAUAUGGAUUGUAA
rnacentral:lncRNA from 1 species